rnacentral:rRNA from 1 species
UACGUAGGGGGCUAGCGUUGUCCGGAAUCAUUGGGCGUAAAGAGCGUGUAGGCGGCCCGGUAAGUCCGCUGUGAAAGUCGGGGGCUCAACCCUCGAAUGCCGGUGGAUACUGUCGGGCUAGAGUGCGGAAGAGGCGAGUGGAAUUCCGUGGUGUAGCGGUGAAAUGACGCAGAUAUCAGGAGGAACACCAAUUGCGAAGGCAGCUCGCUGGGACGUAACUGACGCUGGAGAACGCGAAAGCGUGGGGAGCAAACAGG